rnacentral:rRNA from 1 species
GUCGAGCGGAGAUGAGGUGCUUGCACCUUAUCUUAGCGGCGGACGGGUGAGUAAUGCUUAGGAAUCUGCCUAUUAGUGGGGGACAACAUUCCGAAAGGAAUGCUAAUACCGCAUACGUCCUACGGGAGAAAGCAGGGGAUCUUCGGACCUUGCGCUAAUAGAUGAGCCUAAGUCGGAUUAGCUAGUUGGUGGGGUAAAGGCCUACCAAGGCGACGAUCUGUAGCGGGUCUGAGAGGAUGAUCCGCCACACUGGGACUGAGACACGGCCCAGACUCCUACGGGAGGCAGCAGUGGGGAAUAUUGGACAAUGGGGGGAACCCUGAUCCAGCCAUGCCGCGUGUGUGAAGAAGGCCUUAUGGUUGUAAAGCACUUUAAGCGAGGAGGAGGCUACUGAGACUAAUACUCUUGGAUAGUGGACGUUACUCGCAGAAUAAGCACCGGCUAACUCUGUGCCAGCAGCCGCGGUAAUACAGAGGGUGCGAGCGUUAAUCGGAUUUACUGGGCGUAAAGCGUGCGUAGGCGGCUUUUUAAGUCGGAUGUGAAAUCCCCGAGCUUAACUUGGGAAUUGCAUUCGAUACUGGGAAGCUAGAGUAUGGGAGAGGAUGGUAGAAUUCCAGGUGUAGCGGUGAAAUGCGUAGAGAUCUGGAGGAAUACCGAUGGCGAAGGCAGCCAUCUGGCCUAAUACUGACGCUGAGGUACGAAAGCAUGGGGAGCAAACAGGAUUAGAUACCCUGGUAGUCCAUGCCGUAAACGAUGUCUACUAGCCGUUGGGGCCUUUGAGCUUUAGUGGCGCAGCUAACGCGAUAAGUAGACCGGCUGGGGUGUACGGUCGCAAGACUAAAACUCAAAUGAAUUGACGGGGGCCCGCACAAGCGGUGGAGCAUGUGGUUUAAUUCGAUGCAACGCGAAGAACCUUACCUGGCUUGACAUACUA